UUUUUUUGUAGAAUGAUGUACAGUGCAAGUUCCAAGAAUGUCGCAAGAUCUCAUGAUUAUAAAAAAUGGACACAUUCCAAGAUCCCUGAAUAAGAGGUAAAUGAUUUUUCUUCUAAUUAUUUCUAACCUUCUCCUUGUAUUUUUUGGAUAAUUGUGUUUGUAAUUAUUAAUUUGUUUCAUGUUCUCAAUAGUGAGUUUUUUAAAUUUUCUAGAUGUGUGUUGCAAUUUCAAAGAAUGUCUCAAGUUGUUGGUUGAAAUGUUUUUGAUCACAAAAAUGAACACUGUCCAUUGGAAAGUAUAUAAAAGGUCUUAAUAUUUUCCUGUCUUAUCUUAUAUGAAAUGUUUUGAACAUUAUAUGAUUGCCUGUGAUCAAUAGUUUCAAAAAUCCCAGCAGAAUAUUGCAAAAAUAGCAUGACACAAAAUACAACAAAAAUACCCAAUCUUUACACCCAAAUAUGGUGAGUGCACAAAAAUUGCACUCUUUUUAUUCUAUUAUUACACCUCUAUUUUGACCUGUUAAUAUUUGGAAAAUUUCAGUUUUGCGGUCCCUCAAUUACUUGAUUGGGUUUUGUGUUACAACUGAUCACAGAAAGUCUAUAAUUUUCAAAGCAAUAUAUAAGCAUUUUAUGAGCAAGCCAGAAAAUGACAAACAUGUUUUUUUAAAAAAUUGUUUAACAGAGAUGAUUCGGUUUGGACAUGCUUUUUUUCCUGUUUGGCAUAAAUAGCUAAAUCUUAAAGUACAG